AGUGAACGCUGGCGGUAGGCCUAACACAUGCAAGUCGAACGGCAGCACAGUAAGAGCUUGCUCUUACGGGUGGCGAGUGGCGGACGGGUGAGGAAUACAUCGGAAUCUACUUUUUCGUGGGGGAUAACGUAGGGAAACUUACGCUAAUACCGCAUACGACCUACGGGUGAAAGCAGGGGAUCUUCGGACCUUGCGCGAUUGAAUGAGCCGAUGUCGGAUUAGCUAGUUGGCGGGGUAAAGGCCCACCAAGGCGACGAUCCGUAGCUGGUCUGAGGGGAUGAUCAGCCACCCUGGAACUGGGACACGGUCCAGACUCCUGCGGGAGGGCGCAGUGGGGAAUAUUGGGCAAUGGGCGCAAACCUGAUCCAGCCAUACCGCGUGGGUGAAGAAGGCCUUCGGGUUGUAAAGCCCUUUUGUUGGGAAAGAAAAGCAGCAGGUUAAUACCCCGCUGUUCUGACGGUACCCAAAAAAUAAGCACCGGCUAACUUCGUG
rnacentral:rRNA from 1 species